GGUAAAUCGUCCUGAUGAUUACAGAUAGUGAACUAGGCUUUAUCAUUAUUUUCAAUCUAGUAGUAGGCAACUUUACAAAUAUUUCUAUUAUUUGAAUGAUGCAUUUUGUUACGAUUCUAGUGGUUUUGGUUUUAAUUUGUGCAAAAAGUUCAGCAGACACAACGACUGUUUUUCAACACGGGUUUGAGAACUGUACAUUUGCCAACAACGGAACAUGUGGCUACGACAUUCGCUCUCCUUGGGAAAUUCACAAGGGAUCGUUUUUGUUAAGUGGUCGUUAUGUCCUUAACGGAGGUCAAGACGACGAGUUCUAUGCGCUAUUUAAUACGCAUAUUUCAUCCAUUGGUAAUCCCGACAUUUCGAUGGUCUCCCCAUUAUUACCGAAAGGAGCAGCUUGUCUCAGUUUCUACUACACUAUCCCUGCUUCCUGGGAAAAUCUUCAUGUGAGGAUACGUACAGAGGACAAUGCACUGUGGAACUGUGGAAUGUGACCCAACGCGGGAAUAAGAACUGGACAAGGGUGGAUAGAUUGGCUGUAUACCCUGACGCAGCAUUUCUGGUAAAACGGAUCUUAAAAAGAAUUUUUCAGAAUCAUAACCAAUUUACUUAAAUCGAUAUUAAGAAACCAUUACGAGAUAAGCAUUUAAAUAGGCGAACGUAAAAUGGUAACAAAACACUGUCCAAUUUUGUAAACGAAACAAAUAUGCAUAGUUAUCUCCGCAAAACGUAUUAAAUCGGUGAAAAAAAUGCAGUAGGAAUACCGUGAUUCGUAUAUGUUAUAUGAUCUUGUUUAUUGCGCGCAAAAUGUUUGGGAUAUUAAACCAUUUGCUCAUAAAAAGGAAAUACACCUGUACAUUAUAUAUUGUGUAUUGUGUACGAAAUAUCGAGUGGAUGUUAAAAAGUUGUAUUUAGUGCAUCGUGAUAAUUGUCAUUCGCACAACAUUAAAUGUUAAAAUGAUUAUUAUGUUGCACGUGUAAUCGCAGUCUAUAAUAACGUGCAUCUUACAAUCUGAUGCUCGGUUUAAAUUAGUUUAAUCGUAGCCAUGUUUGAAUUGAGAUGCAUGAUUGAUACGGUUAUUGAAAGACAUCUACAGAGAACGGUCGGCACUCGUCCUUCAAUACCGUCAUGCUUUUGACAUGUUUAGACCUUGCAUUAUUCUGCAACAGUCUGAAUUUUCUGGUCUCUGAUAAAGCAAGCCUUGCCCAUAACCUUUAUUAGUCUUGUACGUAUUUGACACACAUCCUUAGAAUAUCAGAAUAAACAUUAAGAAUAAAUUCAACGUCACUUUUUCUUCAAAAAGUGUAAUCAUGCUAACUAAUUUAAAUUCAAACUUAGAAACCUCAUUUUCAAUUUAACUUGUUCACCGUUAAACCGUGACAUGAUUGAGCUUUCAUGACAUGUGCUGUUACAAAAACCGGGAGUAUAUUUCUCAUUUAAUGCCAACACCGACUGUGCAGGUAAGACUCGAAACCUUUUAUCAAGUUAUUUAUUAAUGUUCAUAUGAACAGCAUUUGUAUUCUCGAAUUGUAAUGCAUUUCUAUAUGUACAGUUCCGUGUUUUUACAUUGUUGCUUUAUUUUCUGAGAUAUUUUAUGAAACGUCUGAGCCGUUCGUUCGACAUUUACACAAUUUAGGAACAUAUAUGCAAAGAAGGUUCCUUUAAAUAUAUGUUUUGAAAUGGUUUAUUGUCCAAAUUUGUAAAACAAAAUACGUUACCAAUAAAUUAUGAUAAACUCGAUAGUAUUUUGGGAUACAUGAAGGAAA